rnacentral:misc_RNA from 1 species
AACGCACAUUGCGCCCCGUGGUAUUCCGCGGGGCAUGCCUGUUCGAGCGUCAUUUCACCACUCAAGCCUCGCUUGGUAUUGGGCGCCGCGGCCUCGCCCGCGCGCCUCGAAAUCUCCGGCUGAGCCGUCCGUCUCCCCGCGUUGUGACUUCAUUGUUUCGCUGCGGAGCACGGGCGAUUUCGGCCGUUAAAUCUCAUCAAAGGUUGACCUCGGAUCAGGUAGGGAUACCCGCUGAACUUAA